rnacentral:rRNA from 1 species
UGGGGAAUUUUGCACAAUGGGGGAAACCCUGAUGCAGCGACGCCGCGUGAUUUAGAAGGCCUUCGGGUUGUAAAAAUCUUUUUUACGGGAUGAAAAUGACAGUACCGUAAGAAUAAGGUCCGGCUAAAUACGUGCCAGCAGCCGCGGUAAUACGUAUGGACCGAGCGUUGUCCGGAAUCAUUGGGCGUAAAGGGUACGUAGGCGGCCUAGUAAGUUAGAAGUGAAAUAAUAUAGCUCAACUAUAUAAAGCUUUUAAAACUGCUAGGCUUGAGCGAUGGAAGGGAAAGUGGAAUUCCUAGUGUAGCGGUGAAAUGCGCAGAUAUUAGGAAGAAUACCGGUGGCGAAGGCGACUUUCUGGUCAUCAUCUGACGCUGAGGUACGAAAGCGUGGGUAGCAAACAGG